GCUGCCGGCCGGGAGAGGCCCGAGACCCGGCGCGCGGGGGGCGCCCCCCGGGCUGCCAGCCGGCCCCUGGGCGGGCGUCGAGAGCGCUCGCGGGGGCCCCAGGGGUGCUGGGGUCGCCUGUGCCUUUCCCGAACGAGCCUUCCUCGGCCAGGAGAUGCCCAGGCGGGAAAAGAAGCGGCGGGGCGACGACCUCAUCCUUCCUCUCCGAAAACACCGCGGAGUGUCCCGGACGAGGGGAGGCGACGAUGGAAGAGCCAAGUGGAGUGUGGGCGCGCGCAAACCGCCUGAGGGUUUUGAUUGCCAUUUUUUUUUUUUUUAACGUGAGUCUAGAAAUGUUGAGCCUCCUCAAGGUCACACGAAUCCUUGAGAGCCCCGAGACCAGGGUCCGGUUGCCAUGACACGCUGCUGCAUCAUAAUCCCGCUCGGUACAAUCUGAGUGAGCUUUUAUCUCUGUGACGUAGAAUGGGCAUCUCUGCUGUAGGAACUCUCCUGAGAUUUCGGUUGAGAAAAUGUCUGACGCUGGAAAUCCAUCUUGAAAUGCCACCGAAUCAGACCAGACACAGAAGGAAUUCAGAAUAACGUGUGGAGUAGGUUGGAGGCUGGAGGGCAGAUACGAACCAGUAUUAUCAGGACGACCACAGGUCUUUAAGUGAAGAAUUUUGUUACUUUCAAGUGUAUCCAGGACUUUAAAGAUUUUUCAAAUAAAGGUGUUAACCAAGCUGGUUUAA